rnacentral:rRNA from 1 species
GUAGGGAGCAAGCGUUGUUCGGAAUAAUUGGGCGUAAAGAGCGCGUAGGCGGUUCGGUAAGUCUGAUGUGAAAUCCCAGAGCUUAACUCUGGGACUGCAUUGGAUACUGCCGAGCUUGAGUGUGGGAGAGGAGAGUGGAAUUCCCAGUGUAGAGGUGAAAUUCGUAGAUAUUGGGAGGAACACCCGUGGCGAAGGCGGCUCUCUGGACCACAACUGACGCUGAGGCGCGAAAGCUAGGGUAGCAAACGGGAUUAGAUACCCCGGUAGUCCUAGCCGUAAACGAUGGGCACUAGGUGUUGGAGGUAUCGACCCCUCCAGUGCCGCAGCUAACGCAUUAAGUGCCCCGCCUGGGGAGUACGGUCGCAAGACUA